rnacentral:rRNA from 1 species
UACAGAGGUGGCAAGCGUUGUUCGGAAUUACUGGGCGUAAAGGGCGCGUAGGCGGUCUUGUAUGUCCCGUGUGAAAGCCCCCGGCUCAACUGGGGAAUGGCACGGGAAACUGCGAGACUUGAGUUCUGGAGAGGGAAGCGGAAUUCCGGGUGUAGCGGUGAGAUGCGUAGAGAUCCGGAGGAACACCGGUGGCGAAGGCGGCUUCCUGGACCGACACUGACGCUGAGGUGCGAAAGCUAGGGGAGCAAACGGG